CUAAUGAGCAUUAUUCAAGCUGCUGUUAUAUUUAGGCUUAUAGGCCUAUAUAUUCUAUAGCUUCGGCUAUAGGCCUAUACUAUAGACUAUAUAUUAUAUACCAAUAUUGUGCAUAAAACUUAAAGCAUGUAAGCAUACACAAUAAUAAUUAUCAUUAGACUUAUAGUAACUAAGACUCGUACUAUUUAGUACUACUUUAAUACUACCUUUAAACUAUUAGGCAUAAUGAAAUAAUGAUUAAUGAUUUCAGUGUUUUCCGCACUCGAGAGGAAAGAGGUUGUAGGGAACUUAGAGACUAAACCUUGCCAACAUACUGGAUUUCUGGUGAUGACAAUAGGAGCAAAUAGUAUGCGGCUCAGUUAAUACUAAAAACAAUUGAUUUUAGUAAUUAGUGGACUAUGAGUGUGUGUUUGGCCAUCCAGAUUUCAUAACUACAACUGAUGUUCAAUUACAAGGGAUAUUAAUCAGUCUCCGUGGACUAUACACUGUGCCUAGUUUCAUCCUCAGAGACUGAUGUGUUAGCUUAAAGUAAAGACAUCAAAGUAUCAGCUAUCAAGAGGAAGAACAUUCAAAAUCAUAUUGUGAUACACAAAUCAAGCAAGUCUAUGACCAGCAUUAUGAUACAGGCCAAGAAAAAGCUGGAUAUUUGAUUGAAAGGGUGGCACAAAAAAGAUGGGUUAUCACUAGGGAAACAAGCUCGGAAUACAGUUCACUGUUGGGACAUCAAGCCAAAUACUUCUAAACUUAUUUGAAUCAUUUUUGCUGUUUAUUAUAAUUCAUCCAAUUGUCUUAUUAAAUAUAUAAAUUUAUAUAUAUAUACACAAUUCCUAAUAUAGAAUUUCUAAAAAUGUUUUAUUAUAAUAUUUGAAAAUGAAACAAACAUGUUCCCAGAACACAGCCACAUAAUGUCAACAUAUUCCCAGAACACAGCCACAUAAUGUCAACAUGUUCCCAGAACACAGCCACAUAAUGUCAACAUGUUCCCAGAACACAGCCACAUAAUUUCAACAUGUUCCCAGAACACACAAAAUGGCAACAUGUUCCCAGAACACACAAAAUGGCAACAUGUUCCCAGAACACAGCCAAAUAAUGGCAUCAUAUUCCCAGAACACAGCCAAAUAAUGUCAACAUGUUCCAUGAACUCACAAAAUGGCAACAUGUUCCCAGAACACACAAAAUGUCAUUAUGUACCCAGAACACACAAAAUGGCAACAUGUUCCCAGAACACACAAAAUGGCAACAUGUGCCGAGAACACAACAAAUGACAACAUGUGCCGUUAACAAUACUUCACUUUUUCCUUAACAAUUUUACAAGCAGGUAAUAAAGCCAUAAAUCUUUACUGUGGAUAUAGCCAAUAAAUAGGGUAACCUUCAC